rnacentral:rRNA from 1 species
UGGGGAAUAUUGGACAAUGGGCGAAAGCCUGAUCCAGCAAUGCCGCGUGUGUGAAGAAGGCCUUCGGGUUGUAAAGCACUUUAGGCUGGGAGGAAGGUAUGUAGUUUAAGAGACAGCAUAUUUGACUGUACCGGCAGAAUAAGCACCGGCUAACUCUGUGCCAGCAGCCGCGGUAAUACAGAGGGUGCAAGCGUUAAUCGGAGUUACUGGGCGUAAAGGGCGCGUAGGCGGUUGUUUAAGUGAGAUGUGAAAUCCCUGGGCUUAACCUAGGAACUGCAUCUCAUACUGGACAGCUAGAGUAUUGUAGAGGGUAGUGGAAUUUCCGGUGUAGCGGUGAAAUGCGUAGAGAUCGGAAGGAACACCAGUGGCGAAGGCGGCUACCUGGACAAAUACUGACGCUGAGGCGCGAGAGCGUGGGGAGCAAACAGGAUUAGAUACCCGCGUAGUCC